rnacentral:lncRNA from 1 species
AUUAUUGUUUGUUUGUUUCAGGUCUGAAAGUGAUCGAAAAAUGUUGAACCCAGAAACCGGUUGUUAUUCGGAAUCCGUGCGAGCAUGGGAUUGGAACGUGACGGGCAACGUACGCGUACAAGAGUCCUGGCCUACGUGAGCGGAUUUCCUCGCGGCUAAUUCGAACUUCUCCAACGACGAAGGAUCAGGAUCCUUGAUUGUUUCGCGCCUCACGAACCGGCAUACUGUGCGCUGAUACAUCACGCGAAGCUGCCCCAGCCCAGAACCAGUUAUAAACAUAUGAUUAAGCUCGUUUUAAUAAGUUUUUAUGUAGAUCUUUACGCGUAAGGAUGUACCUAUAAUAAAAAAACAAAAAAACAACAAAAAAAAGAAAAAAAAAAAAGAAAAGUAAGUGUUAAAUAAACGAGAUGCGUUAUGAUGACA